CACACAAAAGCUAAAUGUUAUUUCUGCUUUUCUCUCUGUUGUCAUGUGGAAGUGGGAGCAGAUGCAUUCUGUGUUACCCAUAGGGCAGAAGAAGCAUCAGCUGAGAGACAGAUUUUAUAGCUCACGGGCCUCGUUGGAUCUCACGUGUGGAGGAGAAUGGUUGGUGAGCAGCACACGUGCAGAUGGGAUUUGUGGAUAGCAUGAGCCACGACUGCGCGAUUUUCCCUGCACGUCCACCGUCUUGUCAGUGUGGCCCAGGACCACCCUGGGGGGACACCCAUCUUACAGAUGAAGACCGUCUGGGAGGACUCGUGAGUAGUGAGAGCAGGAACCAGUCCCGGAGUCCUGGACUCCUGUUCCCGGCUCAUGCCAUGCACUCAAGGUGCUCACCGCUUGGCACAGACACCAGGCAGGGUAGAUUGAGUUUCCGUUGGUGAACGGAGCUGUCACAGCCCGUCCCUUCUGCAGAAUGCUGCUUCCUCUUCCUCUGAUUCAAGAAUGUUUAUUUCCC